CUACACACUUUUCAUUCUCUGCUAAUCAAUUAUAUGAAGCAUAUUUUUUUCGGAGAAAGAAAUUCAUCAAUUAAAAAUUUCAGAAAUUUCGUGUUUCACAUAUCCUGCAUUGCAAUUUUCUUGAUCAUGACGAGAACAGCUCCAAUUUCAACUUUGUUUCAGAUUUUUCGAAUGGUUCGGUGAAAAUUACUUUUCUGAGGAAGAAAAAAAGAAAUACCGGGAUCGGGUUUUAACGCGAGGGGUCUUGCCCCAAUUUGAUGGUAUGCUCUAUCUGGAGUGGGAAAAUGACAGCCUUGGCGAGGCUUGUGGAUGCUGGAAGUUUCCCACGAACUGCAAGAGGUACUGAAUAAGCUCGGUGAAUGGGAGUACUUAACUGGAGGAGUGGUUCAGUGUUUUGCAUUAUUCCCCACCUUAGCAAUCAGCAACAUAUGAAUCUAUGAUAACCUUUUUGUGUGGUAUUUUAUCUUUUAAAAGGCCUCCCCAAUCUGUAUGAAUCUCUGUAGCAUCCGAGCAGAAGCCUCGGCGGGAAGUGCUACUUAAUUUUUGAUUUCAUGUCUUGUUUCCAUGUGUUUAUCUCCUCUCUUCCAUCUGUUGCAUGCACAAGCACCCCCAUUUCCCUUGUGAUGCUAUACAUGACCAAAUUGUGGCAUCUUUCUCAACUUAAUAGCAGAACUUUUGAUCAGUACUGAACCAUAAGCUUCUAUUAUACACCCUUAUUAUUUUGUUUUAUUAUUUUUGUUUCGUCCAGCUAGGAAAGACCAAAUUUAGAUUGUGAAUUAAGCAAUUUGAUAUUUAAAGUGCAACUUCCGCUCCAUUCUGUCUCUUUUACAGAGGAAGCGAGCUACCAGAAGUUGGCUGCACAAUCCAUAGGGAGAGAAUUACAAGAUGCAGAUGAAGCAAAUUUGAUUAAUGAAGAAGGUCUGUAUAUUCAUUCAUGUCUAAAGUAAAGAUGGCAAUUAUUUUCUUAAUUCUCCUUUACACAGUCCCAGUUAUGAUAGGUCGCACGAAGGUGCUAAUCCUUUUCAUAUGCCGACAUAAUUGUGUUGCACUAUCUUGUCCUAGGAUCUUUUGUAUAUGAUUUUGGCUUCUGAUUUGUCAAUGUUGUUGUGGUUGAUUUUCUCUCGUAGAUAUGCAUAUUUUUGGUUUGAGACCAAUGGCAGAUUAUUUAGAUUUGGUAUGCUGUAAUGCUUGCAAGAAGCCAAUCAAGGCCAGCCAUUAUGCAAUGCAUGCAGAGCUCUGCAAGUCUCUAAGUUCUAGAGCAGAAAUCAACGUGGAACUUGAUGGUCCUGCAGUGACUAAAAAACCUCCAAGGAAGGAGAGGAAAAAGUCACAGAUUACUCAGAGUAAAAAGGCCAAAUCACUCAGAGAGACCAAAAACUCUUGUUCUGUAGACUCUUGUGAUGUAGCUGCACCAGGAUAUCAUAUAGAUGCAAAAAGCCAAAUCAGUCUCUUCCCUGAAGCUCGAAGAGAAAUGCAUAUGAAUUCCACUGACAAAAUGAAUGGCUCAACAGUGAACCCUUACAGUAUGGACUGUGUACAAGAUGUAACUAAACACUCAUUGAAACCACUAAAAAGGACUUCAGCUGAGAAUCAAUCAAAUCAAGGUACAGAGAAUUUCUACAAGCCAGCUGCUGAGCUUCUUCCAUAUGUUCCAGCUCCCCUUGCGACCAAAAUAUACUAUUCCCAAAGAAAUCACAAUCUCCGAAGAGCCAUUUCUCGCAUGUUCUUUGAGGAACCAGACAAAGAGUUCAGCAAUGAGGUUCCAUCCUCAGAAGAAUAUCAAGUAAAUGUGGCUCUAGGAAAAACUUCUUGUCUUGAAACUUUUUGCCAUGAACAAGUUGCACGUCAUCAGAGAGACAGCAAUUUUUUGCUCUUUGCUCAAACGACUGCUCACAUUCUUUCAGCAAGGUCAAACUUCUACAUGGGCGAGCAGGAGCAUUUGAACCAUCCAUGACCUCAGUUGCUCAGCUCCCUGUGAUUAAUACUAUAGGACCUCAUUAUAUAUCGAAUUCUUAUUCAUUUUCUGACCAACCAGGUACUCUUCAGCCGAGCAGUGGAAGUGUUCCGGUUGUAUAGGACUCAGCAUGGAGAAUUUGCUCGGUACAGCUGUUACUCCUUUUGCUCUAACUGAUGACUUAGGCUAAACUUGAUCAGGAAAAAAGAAAAGAUGCACAGUGCUAGCAUAAUAACAUUUAACUGUGAUCACGUUGCACCCACUACUAAUUUCAAGACCAGUGUGUAUAGGCUGCUUCUAAUAUUGUGAAUACGCAAUACUCUCCCAGAUCUUAUGUUAAUACAAAAACACCAACAUGGAAUCAUCCGUCAUUUUCUAAGUAGUCGACUAGAACCAA